rnacentral:rRNA from 1 species
GCGUUGUUCGGAAUUACUGGGCGUAAAGGGCUCGUAGGCGGCCAACUAAGUCGGACGUGAAAUCCCCAGGCUCAACCUGGGAACUGCGUCCGAUACUGGAUGGCUUGAAUUCGGGAGAGGGAUGCAGAAUUCCAGGUGUAGCGGUGAAAUGCGUAGAUAUCUGGAGGAAUACCGGUGGCGAAGGCGGCAUCCUGGACCGACAUUGACGCUGAGGAGCGAAAGCUAG